GGGGCGGUAGCUCAGUGGUGAGAGCGGCGGUCUUAUAAACCGUGUGUCGAGGGUUCGAUUCCCGCUCGCCCUA
rnacentral:tRNA from 1 species